CAGACAUCUGUAGGCUGCACCUGGCGAUCACACCUUUGUUUUCCCCUUUCUUGCAUGUCAGUGCUCCUUCUGGCACCAAUAUCGAUCAUUUAGUGCUUCAGACUUUGAUGUCCUGUGGGUUGAUUUUGCAGUAUGGGAAGUGACAGAAAGCCCAAGUAUAAUUUGCUUUUAUUUACACAUCACUGGCAGCUGGGAGCAGCAGAAGGCAAUUCCUUGCUCAGCAGUCUCAGCCCAGCACCAGUGCCUGAUUUCCAGGGAGCCAUUUCUGCCUGAAGAAUUGAGUCUAAUCAAGGCCCAAGGCAGAGAACACACACUCCUGCUGCUUGCAAAACCAUGUUCUCCCUCAAGCAAUGCCUCUGCACGGAGCCUGGCAGACCAAUGCUAGAGGUACACGGUGUCCCUAUCUGAAGCUAAAAUAGAAGGACCAGCACAAAAAGCCUUUUGCAUGCUUUGUUUUUCUUGUAACAAACAACCGGACUUGCCAUCUCCUGAGAUACAAAAUUAUUGAAUAUAUGCAGAGAUAGUAUUGGUGGUUAUAGUCUAAAGAAACCCACAUUUAAGGUUCUGGACAGAUUGCCUUUGUGUUUAGUUUAGGGAAUAAGCAAAGGAUAACCACCCAUCCUUCAGACAAAGGGAACAGUGCAAAUAUUGUGCUGAGACACCGAGUGCUGUCUUCCAGCAGUUACUGCAUGAACAACAAAAUACAUCCCUUCUAAGUGUCCAAUCUUAAAAAAAAGGCUUUCCAAAACUUACCUUUCACAAACAGUGAGAGCCCUCCAGUGCCAUCUCCAUGUGAUGCUGCUGGCACCCUAGCUGAGCUGUUUGCCGUUGCAGCCAUGCUCUGCAGGGAAAAGCAAAUGGAUGCAAUGCUUGACUGAAGGAAGGCCUUCCAGUGAUUUGGAAGACUGAGCAGAGGUGGCAGGGGGAGGAUUUCCCAGCUCUGCUGUGUAUGUUGAGGUGUGAGAGUUGUAUGUCUUCCACAACUGUUCAGAUUAAUCCUGAGACGUGACUGCACCAGAGAUCCCUGCUCUUUGUUCUUACAGACACAGACGUUUUUAAUUUCACUCUUGCAUUCUGUUAGCCACCAUGAAUUGUUCCAUCAUGGCCGAAAGGGUGAAAGCUGUUUUUCCAUCUGUGCCUGUAAGCCAUGCAAACUCUAGCUUUUGAUAUAAAUAAGCCCAAGCGACAAGAUCCAACAGAUCUCCAGAAUUUUCUGCCUUUACCAGCAUCGCUAAUUCACGCGCUAUAAAGUUAUCAGCAUAAGACUAAUAAAGCAGAGAGUUCUAUAAAAGUGGCAAGUGAGUCAUUGCAAUUGCUUCAGGCAGCGUAACCUACUUCUGCAUUCAGACACAGAUGGGAAAGAUUUACUCAUUGUCUCCAUUUUAGGUGCCUGCAAAAGAAGGCAAAGCACAAAAGGAAUCUUGCUUCCUCUCCAGUUUGUCCUCCCCUUCAACCCCAGCAGCAAAAAAAAUCAAAUCAGCUCCCUUUAAAGGAGAGGGAUCUCAAUGGGACUGCACUGUAAGGCAAAAUAGACCUUUAUUAACUAAAAUUAUAUCGCAGUUUAGGGGAGAAGCAUAACAAUCUAAAGACAUUGUGAAUUUCAGAAACCCAAAAUAUAGACAUUUUAAGAUGUAUUUCAUAUUUAUUAGAUUGGGAAAAUGUGUUACUUUAGAGAUAAGGCAAAAGUUUUCAUAGUGAGAGAUGUUUUCUGGCCUCUCUCUGCUCUGAUUUAAGUGAUGCAGCACCCAAGGGCUCUGCUUGUUUAUUAAAGGCAUCCGGUUUAUUUCCAGAAUAAAAAUAAAAAUUAAAAAAACCAACCUUAAAUAAAUGCAUGGCAGAACUGGAAGGACGGGGUUAUUUAAGUCUGUGCCAUGGCUGGAGUCUGGCCCUCCCCUCUCUGAACGUGGCUGUUGCUCACACCGGCAGCUGUGCUAACUCCUAGAGCUUCUUUACUGAGUGAGAGGCACGGAGUACAUCUACUGUGCAGUUCACAAGUGUGGUUUUAGCUUGUGCAAACAAACCUGAACGAGCUGUAAAGCAGGAACAAAACUGCCUAAAGCCAGCGGAUGAGCUCUCGGCUGCCUGAGCCCAAAGUGCCUCAGCUGUAGGCAGAUGCAGGCCAGGUGGUGGGAUACCACUUUGGGUACAUCUGUAUGGGGCAGCAUGGGCCUGAGAUACCCAAGAGCUGACAGGCUUCUGACUUGUGUAUAUUGCUGCUUUCUGCCCAAAACCUUAUCCAGCUGAAUUCUGAGAAAUUGCUUUAUUUGCCUGGCAUAUUUGAGUACCCACUGUAUCUGUCACCAAUGGAAGGUGCAGUGCUUCUGCACACAGAUCGUGUCAUGCACAGUAAGGCCAACAUUGUCUCUCAACAUCUGACCAAAUGUUGUAAGGCUGCAACCUUGACUUCUUGACCUAUUCACAGCAGGAAUGGAAGCCUUGGUCAGAAGAUCCCAAGCCAGACUGGAUAUGCUGUGCCUCAGCCCCAGCAGGAGAGGAGGCCAGGAUGCUGCUCCCCAGGAACAUCAGUUUUAGAGCAGAAGCCACAUGAUUGCCCUCCGGGUGCAUUAAACACAUCAGAUUUUGGAAGCAUCAUACUUACUGUGACUGUAAUGUGGUGAUCAGCUGGGUCAAUGCCCAGCUGAGGCACACUAAUCAUAACAAGCUACUUGCUGCACUUGGGUAAGACUCCUUACUAGGGCAAAACUCCUGAUCCAUCAUAUAGAAUCAUAGAAUCGCUAAGGUUGGAAAAGACCCACGGGAUCAUCCAGGCCAACCAUUCACCCUUCACCAAUGGUUCUCACUAAACCAUGUCCCUCAACACAACAUCCAAAUGCUCUUUGAACACCACCAGGCUCGGUGACUCCACCACCUCUCUGGGCAGCCCAUUCCAGAGCCUGACCACCCUUUCAGAGAAGUAGUAUCAUAGAAUCAUAGAAUCGCUAAGGUUGUAUUUCCUAACGUCCAGCCUGAACCUUCCCUGACGCAGCUUGAAGCCAUUCCCUCUAGUCCUAUCACUAGUCACACGAGAGAAGAGGCUGACCCCCAGCUCACUACAACCUCCCUUCAGGUAGUUAUAGAGAGCAAUAAGGUCCCCCCUGAGCCUCCUCUUCUCUAGACUGAACAAUCCCAGCUCCUUCAGCCGCUCUUCAUAAGGCCUGUGCUCCAGACCCCUCACCAGCUUAGUUGCCCUCCUCUGGACACGCUCCAGGGCCUCAAUGUCUUUCUUACAGUGAGGGGCCCAAAACUGGACACAGUACUCAAGGUGCGGCCUCACCAGUGCUGAGUACAGGGGAAUAAUUACUUCCCUGUUCCUGCUGGCCACACUAUUUCUGAUACAAGCCAGGAUGCCGUUGGCCUUCUUGGCCACCUGGGCACACUGCUGGCUCAUGUUCAGUCUAGCGUCAAUCAACACCCCCAGGUCCAUUUCCUCUACACAGUCUUCCAGCCACUCUGCCCCAAGCCUGUAGCGUUGCCUGGGGUUUGUUGUGGCCAAAGUGCAGGACCCGACAUUUGGUCUUGUUGAAUCCCAUCCCAUUGGCUUCAGCCCAGCUAUCCAGCCUAUCCAGAUCCCUCUGUAGGGCCUCGCUACCCCCAGGCAGAUCAACACUUCCAGCCUGCUUGGUGUCAUCUGCAAACUCACUGAGGGUGCACUCAAUGCCCUCAUCCAGGUCAUCAACAAAGAUAUUAAAGAUAUUAAAAAUAUCUUUUCUUGAACAGACAAUGAAGAGACAGUCCAUACUCUGGGCAACUACUACUUAAAAAUUCAUCUGCUUUUCAAAUCCCAAUAUGCCCAGUGUGGAGGGAAAGGAGAGAGGUACCUAACUGUCUUCAGAUGUGUUUCAUUUCCCCUGUCAUUUCAUGAAACCUGAAGCCAGAAUACUAUGAAAAGUGCAUUUGAGGCUUGAGUUUUCUUUCUUUUUAACAGUCUACUGCCUGCUUUUAAUGUUUACUGAGCUUUUGGCUGUAAAAAUGUAGCUGCAGCACAUGGUUGAGAGGUUUUUCUCAGUCUGUAGUCUCUGUCACAAAGGAAUUCCUCCUCCAGACUCCUUUGCCUUCCAUUCUGAGCUCCUCAGAGACCUCUGCUGCGGUCCCUGGCAGCAGAUCAAGGGGAAACAGCUUCAGUAAAAGCUCUCAUUGUAGCAACAAAACAUCAUUGAUCAACCAUGUUCAGUGCCAACAGCUUUUUGAAUCUGGCAUUUUUAAUGCCCAGUUUCUGCUUUCAUUCAAUUUUCAGGUAUCCUAUGUAAAGAAAGCCUCCUGAGAGGUUUUUUGUUGGUGUUGUUUUUGUUCCAUCCUCUGAGUUGAGUUUGAAACAAAAAUCUGCAGCUGAGUAGCCCUGAAAACAUCAGUCCAAAUCCAUUUCAGGCCAAGCCUGGCAGAGCCUUUUCCUGCCCUUCAUGUCUGUAGGGAAGGCAGAAGAAAAUAUGCUGAAGCACCAGCUGAAUAGUCGAACACCUGGCAGAGAGAGCUGCUCUGCUCAGCAGAGCAGCUACAGCACAGGCAGUCAACAGCUGCAGGAGAAAGGCAGCGACAUCAAGAUGCACUCCAUUGAAAACUGGUAAUUGAUCUGUUCUGCCACGACACACUGAAACACCAUCCUUCCAUGCUGGAGUUGCAGGCAGAGUGGGAAUGACUGACUGUUAUGAAUGCUAUUUGCAGAAUACCAAUGCAGUGCCCUUUCUCCACUUAAUAGAAAUUUAGAGUUCUUCACAGGGUAAGUGACUGUGCAAUCAGAAUAAACCAAAACUCAUUCAGAAAGCUACGGUAAAUCCCAACACCGAGCAAGGUAUCCCUCACCCGGGACCAGACAGCCAUUUAGGAGUCCCCAGUUUCCCUACACUCCUUCUGUAUCUGGCUGAAAUUCUCCACACAGGCAACUGAGCUGCCAGUGGCUGGUUCAGGGUGUUGGGCACACAGGGCUGAAGACAUCCACAUUUGGUGGGACAGACCCUGGGUUAGUCUUCAAACUCAGGGCAAUUCUUUCAACUAAACUGGAGAUAUUCUGUUUUCAUAUCUACAUCCUUGCUGGCAGAGCUCAGCCUAUUGCAGAGAAAGAUUCUGAUCUUUCUUUCAUCCCCAUGGGACACUGACUUCAGUAAAAUACUCCAUGCUUCAUUUCCCAGUGUUGCAAAACAACUUAAUGGAUCACACACUUAGGGGAGUGUUUCCAUUAAUUUCUAGCUAACAUUCCACCUCUCAUAGCACCAAAAUGUCAGCGGCUUUAGCCUUUUCAAAGCAUUUCCUCCAAGAGCACACGAAGUAAAAAGAAGGCAACUCGCAGUCUUCCUUAGCUAGAUCCAACCUUAUGUCACCUCUGAGGAUGGCGGAAGAGUUACACAAAGCCCCUUUCACUUACCUUUCCUCUGAGCACUUAGCCCUUGAUGACUGACAUUUGUUUGUGUGUGGCCCUGAUCCUCUUCCUCUUUGCACAGAUAUCAAGCACGGAGCUUUGCUAUAGUUGACGUCAGUGGCAUUUUAUCAGCCAAAGAGCAGACAGAAGUGCAGGUACAGCUGACAGAGGAGGCAGGUUGUGCGAGCAAAAAUAUGCAUUUGCUGUUACCAAAAUGGAACUUAUGCUUGUCUCUUUGCAGCUAUAGUCCUUUGAAGCAUUACAGAACCCUGUGAUAACCUAGAUGUUAGAGACGGUAUAAUCACUUAGAGAGUUAAUGUGCAUAAACACAUAUAAAAUGAUUGUUUGCAUUAUUCCUGCACAGUCUUUGUACUGUAUUACUGCAUAAAUCAGAUCUAUUUUACUUUCAUUUGCUAAUCCUUCUACUCUUUUGGGAGCAUCUCAGUGAAUGAAUACACAUUCCAUAUCCUUACAGCCUUAAAAACAAAUGUAUGUUCACAGAUACAUCUUCGAGAAUUUUUUUGCCACAAAGCAUAUUAUUCAAUGUAAUUAUGUAAGAUGCAUGACAAAUCUGAGUGCAAAGGGGCGUGUCAGACAGCAAGUCUUAACAGGAAAACUCAAAGCUUACACAUAGGUCCUGUACUUCUUUGGUGGCAGCUGCAGUCCUCUGAAGGUCAUAAUCCGUCCUGUCUUGCUCCUGCUGGUACCCAAGAGCAUAUGGCAGCCUUUGCAUGGAUGAGACAGUCACAAGUCAUCCCCAUGCAGAAACCAGGAGAAAAAUCAGCAGGAUCAUUUGGAGCAUAUGGAUCCAACGAGGCUUGAAACCUGCCUGAGUGGAGGAGUACGGCAUGCUCAGCUGGUAGCAAACGGCUGUAUUUCUCAGAGAGGAUGAUCCUGCGAAAAGUGGGGUGGAAACUGGUGGCUCCCAGAGGGUUAAGGCUCAUGCUAGCUGGAAGUGAAGGCUACUUUAUAUAGUGAGAGGACAACCCAGAGGGAGUAUGUGAGAUGCUGCCUCAGUAUUAAGCAAUAAUUUAGCAGCCUCCUGUGGGGAAAAAUCCGUGUCACAUUAGGGAGAAGCUGCAUGGCAGACAAGAGAUGUGUUUACAAAUAUUUUUCCUUUGAUUAUUUAGAGACUUCUUGCAAAGCCACAUUGUACUUUGCUUUGGACACCACAGCAGACAAACACCGACUCAAAGGGUUCAUAAAACGCUAAAAGGGGCACGAAGCACACAUGGAAGUUCUUCUUGCAAGGCCAAAAUCCAAUGGCAGAUACAAAGUAUGUACAUAGUUUUCUUUCAUGAUAACAUAGUCCUGUCUGUGUUGGUUAUCAUGCACCCAGAGAGCUGCCUCGCAGGCACGCUGCAUCUUUUUGCCAGCCUUUGACUACAUUUAGCAUGUAGAACUGGUUCUGUACAGGCACACGUUAUAGAGGCACCAGCCCUCACCAUAUAGAACAGUUUGACAGUUCUUACUUGCUGCACUAAGGUCAGCCAUGGCUCUCUGUACAUAUUUGUAUUUCAAUCCUGGCCCAGCAGCCUUGCAGAUGGAUGCAGAGCUCACGUAUGGCAUGGACACCAGCGGUGCUGGGGAGGAGGGACUCUGUGGUGUCCAAAAGUGAUUAGCUUUACUUCCAAAAGGGGAAUUCAGAGAGAAAAUGCAUUGCAGCACUUGGUCCUGGCACUAGCUGUAAUGUAGAUGUCUGUCUGAUGGGCACUGGUCUAAGACCAACAAAAUGCGAUUCAUACAGGCCACUGAGCAGCUUCUCAUGUUAAUGACUUUUGAAUGCCAGUGGCCUGAAUUGCAUCUGUAUUUUAUUAACACUGUUUACAGAGGGAGUAGAAUUCCAGAUGGAGCAUAAAGUACCUUUUUUCUUGUUCUUCCCAUAAUUGCAAAUGCUCAAAUUGCACUUGUAGCUGUUUUAUGACUUGAUAUUGACCUUACACUCUUUGCAUUUUCUACAGCGGAACACUGCAAUUUCUAGGGAGUAGAAAGGUUAUACAGAACUGGUCAAUGCUCUGUGUGAUGCAAAUAAAAAUAAAGUUGUGAGUGUUUAAGCAAGUAUUUCUUUCCAUUUGGCCUUUGAAUUUUUAUUGCUUCCAGCCAGGUCACUUGAAAUGAAAUUGUCCUUCACAGUUCAAGCUAUGGUUGCCUUACAGAUGGCAUAAAGACAGUGCUUUAAGGUCAUUAGAGCCCUGAAGAUGUUAGAGCAGUCCAGAUGAUUUGCAUCUCUAAGGGAAAGGCUUUUAUUUCUGAACUGUUCACCUAAUACUGAUUUGAAAAUGUACCUUUUUCUUCUUCUUCUCAUGAAAACGCCUGUGCCAAGAAUUAGAAAAAGCCUUACUUACAGCCUUGAUGCGUCACCUCUCCAGCAGCUCCCUGACCUGCUGCACUUUGGGUGGCAAUGAUGGCAAAGAAAGAAAGGAGCACUUUGGGCCUCGGAGCUACCAUCGAUCUCAGACAAGGUGAGGGGAAGGAGGCGGGUGCCUCAGCUCCAGAUCCGGGACCAGAUGCACCAUCUGCUUUGUACUGCACUAUCCUGAUGGGAAGACAGCCAUUUCCACUGACAGCUCUGGAGUGGAGGAGACUUUUUCCACUUUCCUGCUUGCUCCUAGUGGGGAAUGCUGUGCAGCCUCCUGGAAGUUGGAAUGCUUAUUGCGUGUGUUACUGAUGCUCCUGCACGUCCCCUGUCAGGUAGGAGUGGUGGUGCCUCUACACCUCAGCUUCCAUCUGCACCUUCCCUUUCAGCAGUGACCUUGGGGUGCGAUGGGAAAGCAUGGAAGUGCAGAUCAAAAACUCUUCAAGAAACGCAGCUAGGAAGCAAGCAGCAUACUGUAGUAUGUGGCUGCUGGAGCUGAGACACGACUGUCCUCUCUGACACGACUGCAGGGAAUCCGCGCAAUGCUUCUCAGAAAUAAUUUGUUUCUGCGCUGGAUCUACUUUUGCACAACGGGGAUACUUGCCUCUAUCAAACCGGUGGUCGAAAUCCGAGGUCGGCGCGUGCAGGAGGAGAGUGAACUUCCCGGGGAUGCCUUUAGAUGUCUCCCUUCCUCGUCUGUUCGGCGAUGACAGCAGGGGCUGGGCUGCCUGCGGGUUGGGCUGCAGAGCAGUCAGAUUGCCUCGGAGGGUAAACGAGGAUUUUUGAAAACCUUCUAAAGCAAAAGUUAAUGGAAAAGAGAGCCUCGUUGCUCACAGAUACGUCAUUACUUUCUCAGGCGUUUAUGAACAAAUAAAAUGCAUCUACUACAUGGGAGAAGAGUUCUUCCCCUGUGCCCCACGCUCCAGCCCUACCCCCAAGCAAUUGUCUUACUUAUUACAAUUUCAACAUCUCUUCUCUUUGAAGUACAACCUGUUGUUUCGUUAUAUUAUUUCCAUUCAUGCUGUGGAAAUAAAACUUACGACAGUGUCGAUUUCUCAGAUCCGCUUGUAGACUUGGAAAUUUGCAUCAGAUUAUUCUAAUCACUUAGCCUUGUUGUAUAUAUUUACACAAGCACUUUUGAUGUUUAAACAGACCAGGCUGUAAUGAGAUAGGCGCGGGGAAAUAAAUACCCCAAAGAAAAGGAAUGUUCUCUUUUUUUCAGGCCGCUUCCUAAACUAGAAAUGUUCAGCUAAAACAGUGGGUCAGUGCCUUUGGGACCUGAGGGAAUGACUCUAAGGGUGGAAGCACGGAGGGAUGGAUCUGCCUUCAGAUGCACUGGGCAGAGAGAAGAGCACCUGGGUGCCUGUGAGGGUGAGGAGCGUGCUGAGGACUUGUCCUUCUGUGCCCUUUGUUACAGCUGUAAGCCGCCUCCUUGGCCAUCCUGGCACAAGAAACUAUCCCACAUGAACCCUAGAUGUCAAUAUGCAUUGACACAAGUUUCUAGAGGCUGAGCAGGAAGAGGAUCAGCUCCACUGAUUUCAGUGGCAACAGUUGCAGAAACAGCAAAAAGUCCUGGGACUGACUGUGGUGCAAUUGUGCUGGCUCAGCUCCAGACAUGCAGGAAGUCCUGCAGCAUUGUGUUCCUGCAGGCAGGAGGCCUGGUAAGCACAGCAGCCACGCAAUCAGGUUAACUCAGUCUUGAGGCCGGCUCCAUUAGAUCAAGAACAACAGGCAAACAGAAGCAGCCCAUACAUAGCAAAUGUAGAAAAAGGUGGAGAAGUAGACCAGGUGAAGGAGAGACAGGAAUCUUAUGGACUGAAGAAGACAAGAAAUCUUACCCUAAGAUGCAGGAAAUUGCCAAUUGUUUCAUUUACAGUUUAGCUUCACAAAGGCCAGGGGAUCGUAUUUACAUUUGCAUGAUAGAACACAAAGAAUACUUGCAAUUCUUGAAAUAGCAGAAAGGGGGAACAUUCUGGAUGACCCUGUUGUUAACGUAGUCUUGAAGUGGAAUCUGGAACAAAUCAGCCAUUACACAAUAAACCACUCAAAAGACUACAAAAAACUGCGUGUCAGCACAGUUUUAAUUUUGUAACGGGAGUUAGUGAAGUUUGUGUGUAAGAACUUAAAGAAAGAAAAAGAGAAGCUUGUUCUGAGAAGAUGCACUUCCAUAAACUCAGUGACAGAUGAGAGCAGACUUUGUAACUCUCACACUGAAAGUGAUCUAUCCACUUAGACAUGCAAAUGUCAUUUUGAAUAAGUCUAACAUUUUGAAUUGUCAACGGUGGGAAGAGGUUUCUCUAAAGGCAAGUUGUAUUCUUCAGUUAUCCUAAGCUUGUAAACCAUGUAGAACCAAGGGGGAAAAAAAAGAACAAAAUUGAAAGAUUCUGCUUUACUAGCAUUUGGUGACUGAAAGAUUCCGCUUUACUAGCAUUUGGUGACUGAAAGAGCUCAUUAAGAUAACAUUUUCCACUUUAUAACCGCUUCACAAGCAAAUAUUCCUGGCAGCACUGCUCCUCUCAUACUUAGGGAUACUUUAAAGAGGAUGGCCAGGACCUUUGCCUGGGCCAGAAGAGAAGCAAGCGCAUGGCCAGUGCUGGCUGGGCAGUCUCUGAGCACAUUCCUCUGCCCUCCAUGGAUGCAGCAGCAGUAACACCCCAGGGCUUUCAUUCUAGCUGACUUGUUUUGUCUUAUUCCUAACUUGCAAGUUAUAUGCCUUGUUGCACCGGUAACUUCAUGAGACUCUGUGACCCACUUGAAGCAUGGUCAGAGACUAAUGGUCCCUCUUCACCUUAAAGGACAUGCACUUGUGAAAUGAUCAGAAGUACCUGGAGAUUCACAACUUUUCUCCUUCACAGAAGUAUCCCAAGACAUAGAUAGCACACACAGUGGGAACCAUGUUAUUUUCCCUCAGCAGCAACUGAUUCAGCAGCACCAUCUUGACCUAUGCCAGCUACUGCUUCAGCUCCUUGCCUGUAGGAGAGAGACAAAUGGACUUUGAUAGCUAUCCAACAUGAGCAGAACUCUCCCAUGGUGGACAGGUUUGGAAUACUCCAGGUCUAACAAAAUGGGAGCUCCUAUCAGUUCCACCCUGAGGUCUCAUGGAUGCCUCGAGUAGCUUUGCAGCUCCAUUGUGACAUUACACCAAUUUUCCAUCAUGACCAGCAUGAUCCUACUUGGAUAUUCCAGGUGGUGCCCUGUCCCUACCUCCUAAGGGAUAGCUCAUGUCUGACAGCAAAAGCAGAUUUCAAUGAUGUUCUUGAUUUAAAUCCAGAAAACAACAUCUUGAUGAACUCAUGCUCCUGGUUAUUAGUAGAGACUACCAGAUUGCUGCACAUCAGGGAGGGGAACUGCAUUUUCCUUCUCAACUUCUUGUAACCUAAAGGAGUAGAAAGACUGCUUUAUGCUUAUGGUCGAUAGGGUGCACGGUGUGCACAGAGAAAUCACACUUCAUCUUGCAAAUUUAUCAUACUAUUAUUCUACAGUUUUUCUACAGCUAAAACCUACAAGUUGCUAAAAUUGCUACCAUUGUUAAAUGCUACUCAGACCUGAAAUACAUCUAUAGUUAUCAAAACUGAGCUGGGAAGCCAAUGGGUAUAAGAGACCUAACUGUGAAUGUCUUGCUCCAGGUUACUUUCUGUAGUUGGUAAUAGAGAGAAAGAAAGAAAGAUUUGCAUUAGCAGUUCUGAUCCAAGCAGGACGUAGUAAAAUUGGGAAUCAUUUUCAUGUAAACACCUAAUUAAGCUUUGAGUUCUAGUUUAGUUUUGGAAGCAAGUUCUGAAGUACUUAUAACAAGGAUUAAAAGAUGUAACAAAGGGACAAGAGUCUUGAAACAGCUCCUGAAGUCAGGGUUGCUCACCUUUCUGCUUCCUGAUUAAGGCAAAGAUAACAUCUGCAAUAAACUGGAGUGAACUGAUUGAUUUGCUUGAGAAGUUUCCAAAAGCAUAAGUACCUUUUCCUGAAGCAACCUAUCGUGACAAAAAAAAAUCCCUUUCCUCUUAAAAAAAAAAAAUCACAUACAAAAUAUGCACAUUUCAGCACUUUUCCUCCCUGAGGCUUUCUCAGUCUAGGAAAAAAAAGAGAUGUUUUUUUCCAAUUGCCUGUAAAAGGUUUGCAUCUCUGCCAGGUGGUUUGCAUCUGACAGUCAAAUACUGCUGAUGAGAAUCAUCAGUUCCUUCAAGGACUUGACAUUGCAUCCAAUUUGUUUCGCAAGUGAGUGUGUAAGGAAGUGACUGCAGCUAUUAUUCUGUUAGAUUUAGCCAAAACAUCCCCAGAAGAGGUAGGAGGGCAUGCUGGGAAUUGUUUGAUGAGCCUGCUGGGAGAAUAAUUACAUGGCCAGCAGUUUGUUCACUUUAUCUUCUGUAGCACUUUCUUAGUGCCUUUUGUGUGGUUUGAGUACUCGGCUUUUUGAAUGAAAGAAUAUUUACUGCUAUUGUCUCUCCAGCUAAUUCCCAGAUUAUGCUGUCUCAGAUGUGCAUUCUGGGAUAAUUCUGUGUUACAUUAAGUAUUAUGAAAUUUAAAUAUUUUCUUCAAUAUUCUCUUCCUUACUCGAGAUGGAAUUUUCUGCACCAUAACUGUGACUGAACUGGGAAGAGUUGCCCUCUGAUUAUGAUGCUUACACAGACCAUAGGACCAAUUCUGCUGUAAUCUUGCUGCUCUGAGCAGGACGAAUGUCAAAACUUGCAACUUCAAGACAAUUUUUUGGGGUUAAAAUGGCACAUAUAAACGUUGAUUUUGUUUUUAAUGUAACGUCUUACAGCUUAAAGCUUUCAAGAGUAGCCUAGGUAGCAGGGAAACAAAGAUCUGUUAGAGUUUCAGUUUGUUUCAGCAGCUUUUGAAAAAAAUAAAUGGGUAUGAGCCCCUGGAAGACAGCAUGUGGAAGUAUUACCAAAAUAUUAAUUCUGAGGUGACAGGAAAAUCGAAAGCUAUGAAAGGAAUCACAUUUAAAACUGGAAACUGUGCUUAUUCAGCUGACUACAAGGGGGUCCAUGACAGCUGUGGGCGCCUUCUAUAAGGCAGGGAUGCAAUAAAAAAGGUGGUAAUAGCAAACCUCAUCCAGCAAUCCACCUUCCAAGAGCAGUCUGACUGCUCCUCUCUAGACCAGUUCUCUUCUCAGCUGCUGUUCCUGAUCCAGCAGACCUGUGUGUGUGUAUCCUAAGCCAUCAGUCUCACAUCUCUCUGGUGGGUGCAGUAUGUGUGCUUUUUGGCACUCCAGGAGGAAAUACAUGGCUGCACAUCCCUUGUUUUAAAUAAAUUGAAGUGAAUACAAAAGAAGGAGAAGAGAAAAGUAAAGGAUGUAAAAAUUACCAUACCAGAGCCUUUUGCUGCUAGAAAUAUGGAUAAAAAAUAUUGCUUGUGACUCCAGUGAAAUGAGCCUGCUCUUAGAGAGCCUUCUACAAUCUAUCUUGUUUGUGCACUUUAGACUUCAGAAGAACUAACCUUAUUGGAAUAGAGUUGGAAACAUUGGAUCAUUGGCCAAAGCUUUAAAGAAAAUGUUUCCUUGCUACAGAAAGAACAUUAGCAUUCUCACAAAGAAGGUUCCAUAGAAACAAGAAAUACAUUUUUACAGCAAAACUCCCUUUGAUGUGAAUCUUGAGCAAAGCACAAAAAAAGGGCCAGUGGGAUUCUAUUUCCUUCUGUGUACGCUUUUGCAAUUCUUUUUUUUUUUUUUUUUUUUGCUAAUGGGCCACCUGGGAUAUUGUCUUUCUGGUGACUGAACUAAGGCACCUUAGCAGGGUGGGAGGGAUACAAAGGAUUCCUCAAAGGAACGCACUUGCUCUAAGCAGCUUCUCAGAGGGAAAUAUUUCUGUGUCUUUUACCCAUCUUUUCGGUUUCUUCACAAUGUCUCCUUCACCUUACAGUUGCACAGCAGAAGUGCAACUUGAAUUACCAGCCAGCAUCAGCUCCAGCAGUCUGCUCCUGACAGAAGAUAAUGCUGGAGAAAAAAAAUCAAGAAAUUACCUUACUGGCAACAAAGAAAUGUCAGGCUACUUCCUAAGGAGCACAUCAGUUGGAGGGCUGCGUUUGCCUGAAGAGGGUAGUGAUGGGGACACUGUUGAAAAGGACUGAGCCCUACCAAGAAGAAAAGAAAAUGGAUGGUGUGGGGCAUGUGGGAUAUCAGCAGGGAAGAAGGAAACAGCAAUGGAGGAAGAAACUGAAUUUCAGGAAAAAAAGAAAGAAACCUUGCAUGCAUCCUCAUUUUAAGUUUUCUGAAUGCCCUACAGCUGUAUGAAAACCUCAUGCAGGGGAGAGAACACACAGACAAUCUAGGAUGGUUUGGGCUGGUUUCUCUGCAUUUGUACCUCCCUUUCUGCUACCUAUGGAACAGUUCAUUUCUGUACCCCUCCUGAAGUUUGUGCAUCUGGCUGAGCUGGCAGCCUCGUUUACAUGAAGAUGACACAUUUAGGCUCCAUGUCCUUAAUUUCUCC
rnacentral:lncRNA from 1 species